GCGCGGAUAGUUUAAAGGUAGAAUCUUGCCCUUCCAAGGCAAGGGUCGGGGUUCGAUUCCCCGUCCGCGCA
rfam:Mucor circinelloides f. circinelloides 1006PhL unplaced genomic scaffold supercont1.217, whole genome shotgun sequence.